rnacentral:rRNA from 1 species
CUUGAUAAAAUAUAAGAGGUCCAGCCUGCCCAGUGAUAUAAUUAAACGGCCGCGGUACCCUGACCGUGCAAAGGUAGCAUAAUCACUUGUUCUCUAAAUAGGGACUCGUAUCAACGGCAUCACGAGGGUUAUACUGUCUCCCCCCUCUAAUCAGUGAAACUGACCUCCCCGUGAAGAGGCGGGGAUAUUUAUACAAGACGAGAAGACCCCAUGGAGCUUUAAACCCAAUAACAACCUCCACCAAAGUACCCUAAAAAUGAAGAGGCACUGUUUAUUGGUUUUAGGUUGGGGUGACCACGGAGAAAAACUAAACCUCCAUGACGAAUGGACCUUAAGCCUAAUCUAAGAGCCACUACUCCAAGAAUCAUUAAUUUGACAUAAUUUGAUCCGGCAACGAUCAACGAACCA